GAGUUCGAUUCUUCUAACACAUUUCAUGCAAACUGGCCAAGUUCUCUCUCCCGAACAGGUUUCUUCAAUGGAGGGUGUAUUGCCUGUGUGGGCCACUUCACUGAGAUCAACUGAUUCAAAAAUAUUGCAUAAGAGAGUGCACUUAGGAGUAAGAGUUUCUUCUCUUCCUCGUCUAGAGAUGAUGCAGCUG